rnacentral:lncRNA from 1 species
AUUUCUCAACAGGAAACAGACAGGACCUUCAAGGGCAGGAGUCAUGGAGAAUUAGACAAAGGGGGACUUGACAGAGGAGUAGGCCAGUGUGAGUGGACAUGCUAUGGACUGCUACUCAUACCCAGUUCACAAAGCUGUAGGAGGAGACACCAGACAAGCUCUUUGGCCAUCAGGGAUCCUGCAGUGAUGCUGCAGAUAGGAAGCUCUGUGAUGCAUCCCUGCCUCAUCUUCCUCUGCUCUUUGCUCCACCGGAUCCAGCCAAGAGAGGAGGGCAGAGGAGGUCAAUGAAGGUUCCAGAGAACAUAUUCUGUGCAGCAGAAAGCAGGAUGAGAAUGGAAGUAAAACUAGAACGUCUAUGUCUUGCCACAGAGUCUGCUCCCAACAGCCUUUCCUGACUAGACUUUGAACUCCAAUAUUUGUCAUGAAUAUUUUCCUAUUUCAAUGUCUGAUUGCUUCUUGUAACAUAACCCACUCUGUCCUGCAGCAACCAAGCAACCAAUGAUGGUGCAAAUCAUGUGAAACUGUAAGCUGAGCACAGGAAGUUCUAGAAAGCAUCAACUGUCAUCACCUGAAAAGAAGGUUCAAUUGAAUAAUUGCUUUAUCAGGUGUCUUUUCUUGAUUCCGGCAAGAUGACUACAUGGCCUGUAUAUGAAUCCUUCCAGAAGUGAGAUCUACCAAAGUCUAUCUGGCUGGUGCCUCUGCUGAGGAUGUGUAGACCUUGAGAGCUCCAGGCUAAGUGUCUCCCAGGCCACUUGUUGAGAUGAAAUGUUCAGUGAAUGAAAAUAGAUGAAGGAGGAACUCAAUCUGAUAAUAAGGACAGUGGAAGAGCAAGAGAAAAGAAAAUGAGUUAGAAAUAGUUCAUAAUUAAAUUAAUUAUGUGCCUGGUGGUGGUGCUUGUCUGCAGGCCAAAACUGAGUCUGAUAGAUGUACUCAAGAAGCUGAGACCUAGGAGAAACUUGGUAUCCCUUAGUUGGCAG